UGACAGACAGACAGUAUGGUGGUU
rnacentral:siRNA from 1 species